rnacentral:tRNA from 1 species
GCCAGGGUAGAGCAGUCCGGUAGCUCGCGAGGCUCAUAAUCUCGAAGUCGCUGGUUCAAAUCCAGCCCCUGACA